UACGUAGGGUGCAAGCGUUGUCCGGAAUUAUUGGGCGUAAAGAGCUCGUAGGCGGUCUGUCGCGUCUGCUGUGAAAACUCAGGGCUUAACCCUGAGCUUGCAGUGGGUACGGGCAGACUAGAGUGCGGUAGGGGAGACUGGAAUUCCUGGUGUAGCGGUGAAAUGCGCAGAUAUCAGGAGGAACACCGGUGGCGAAGGCGGGUCUCUGGGCCGUAACUGACACUGGAGGCACGAAAGCGUGGGGAGCAAACAGG
rnacentral:rRNA from 1 species